UGGCGGCGUGCCUAAUACAUGCAAGUCGAACGCACAGCGAAAGGUGCUUGCACCUUUCAAGUGAGUGGCGAACGGGUGAGUAACACGUGGACAACCUGCCUCAAGGCUGGGGAUAACAUUUGGAAACAGAUGCUAAUACCGAAUAAAACUUAGUGUCGCAUGACACAAAGUUAAAAGGCGCUUCGGCGUCACCUAGAGAUGGAUCCGCGGUGCAUUAGUUAGUUGGUGGGGUAAAGGCCUACCAAGACAAUGAUGCAUAGCCGAGUUGAGAGACUGAUCGGCCACAUUGGGACUGAGACACGGCCCAAACUCCUACGGGAGGCUGCAGUAGGGAAUCUUCCACAAUGGGCGAAAGCCUGAUGGAGCAACGCCGCGUGUGUGAUGAAGGCUUUCGGGUCGUAAAGCACUGUUGUAUGGGAAGAACAGCUAGAAUAGGAAAUGAUUUUAGUUUGACGGUACCAUACCAGAAAGGGACGGCUAAAUACGUGCCAGCAGCCGCGG
rnacentral:rRNA from 1 species